rnacentral:rRNA from 1 species
UACAGAGGGGGCAAGCGUUGUUCGGAAUUACUGGGCGUAAAGGGCGCGUAGGCGGCCUACUAAGUCAGACGUGAAAUCCCCCGGCUUAACCUGGGAACUGCGUCUGAUACUGGAAGGCUUGAGUAUGGGAGAGGGAUGUAGAAUUCCAGGUGUAGCGGUGAAAUGCGUAGAUAUCUGGAGGAAUACCGGUGGCGAAGGCGGCAUCCUGGACCAUUACUGACGCUGAGGCGCGAAAGCUAGGGGAGCAAACCGG